CACUAUCGUUAACUGAAUACAUAGGUUAACGAGGCGAACCGGGGGAACUGAAACAUCUAAGUACCCCGAGGAAAAGAAAUCAACCGAGAUUCCCCCAGUAGCGGCGAGCGAACGGGGAGCAGCCCAGAGUCUGAAUCAGCUUGUGUGUUAGUGGAACGGUCUGGAAAGUCCGACGGUACAGGGUGAUAGUCCCGUACACCAAAAUGCACAGGUUGUGAACUCGAAGAGUAGGGCGGGACACGUGGUAUCCUGUCUGAAUAUGGGGGGACCAUCCUCCAAGGCUAAAUACUCCUGACUGACCGAUAGUGAACCAGUACCGUGAGGGAAAGGCGAAAAGAACCCCGGCGAGGGGAGUGAAAAAGAACCUGAAACCGUGUACGUACAAGCAGUGGGAGCACCUUCGGGUGUGACUGCGUACCUUUUGUAUAAUGGGUCAGCGACUUAUAUUCUGUAGCAAGGUUAACCGUAUAGGGGAGCCGCAGGGAAACCGAGUCUUAACUGGGCGUUAAGUUGCAGGGUAUAGACCCGAAACCCGGUGAUCUAGCCAUGGGCAGGUUGAAGGUUGGGUAACACUAACUGGAGGACCGAACCGACUAAUGUUGAAAAAUUAGCGGAUGACUUGUGGCUGGGGGUGAAAGGCCAAUCAAACCGGGAGAUAGCUGGUUCUCCCCGAAAGCUAUUUAGGUAGCGCCUCGUGAACUCAUCUUCGGGGGUAGAGCACUGUUUCGGCUAGGGGGUCAUCCCGACUUACCAACCCGAUGCAAACUACGAAUACCGAAGAAUGUUAUCACGGGAGACACACGGCGGGUGCUAACGUCCGUCGUGAAGAGGGAAACAACCCAGACCGCCAGCUAAGGUCCCAAAGUCAUGGUUAAGUGGGAAACGAUGUGGGAAGGCACAGACAGCCAGGAUGUUGGCUUAGAAGCAGCCAUCAUUUAAAGAAAGCGUAAUAGCUCACUGGUCGAGUCGGCCUGCGCGGAAGAUGUAACGGGGCUAAACCAUGCACCGAAGCUGCGGCAGCGACACUAUGUGUUGUUGGGUAGGGGAGCGUUCUGUAAGCCUGCGAAGGUGUGCUGUGAGGCAUGCUGGAGGUAUCAGAAGUGCGAAUGCUGACAUAAGUAACGAUAAAGCGGGUGAAAAGCCCGCUCGCCGGAAGACCAAGGGUUCCUGUCCAACGUUAAUCGGGGCAGGGUGAGUCGACCCCUAAGGCGAGGCCGAAAGGCGUAGUCGAUGGGAAACAGGUUAAUAUUCCUGUACUUGGUGUUACUGCGAAGGGGGGACGGAGAAGGCUAUGUUAGCCGGGCGACGGUUGUCCCGGUUUAAGCAUGUAGGCUGGUUAUCCAGGCAAAUCCGGAUAAUCAAGGCUGAGGUGUGAUGACGAGGCACUACGGUGCUGAAGUAACAAAUGCCCUGCUUCCAGGAAAAGCCUCUAAGCAUCAGGUAACAUUAAAUCGUACCCCAAACCGACACAGGUGGUCAGGUAGAGAAUACCAAGGCGCUUGAGAGAACUCGGGUGAAGGAACUAGGCAAAAUGGUGCCGUAACUUCGGGAGAAGGCACGCUGGUGUGUAGGUGAAGUCCCUGCGGAUGGAGCUGAGACCAGUCGAAGAUACCAGCUGGCUGCAACUGUUUAUUAAAAACACAGCACUGUGCAAACACGAAAGUGGACGUAUACGGUGUGACGCCUGCCCGGUGCCGGAAGGUUAAUUGAUGGGGUUAUCCGUAAGGAGAAGCUCUUGAUCGAAGCCCCGGUAAACGGCGGCCGUAACUAUAACGGUCCUAAGGUAGCGAAAUUCCUUGUCGGGUAAGUUCCGACCUGCACGAAUGGCGUAAUGAUGGCCAGGCUGUCUCCACCCGAGACUCAGUGAAAUUGAACUCGCUGUGAAGAUGCAGUGUACCCGCGGCAAGACGGAAAGACCCCGUGAACCUUUACUAUAGCUUGACACUGAACAUUGAGCCUUGAUGUGUAGGAUAGGUGGGAGGCUUUGAAGCGUGGACGCCAGUCUGCGUGGAGCCAACCUUGAAAUACCACCCUUUAAUGUUUGAUGUUCUAACGUUGGCCCCUGACCGGGGUUGCGGACAGUGUCUGGUGGGUAGUUUGACUGGGGCGGUCUCCUCCCAAAGCGUAACGGAGGAGCACGAAGGUUAGCUAAUCCUGGUCGGACAUCAGGAGGUUAGUGCAAUGGCAUAAGCUAGCUUGACUGCGAGCGUGACGGCGCGAGCAGGUGCGAAAGCAGGUCAUAGUGAUCCGGUGGUUCUGAAUGGAAGGGCCAUCGCUCAACGGAUAAAAGGUACUCCGGGGAUAACAGGCUGAUACCGCCCAAGAGUUCAUAUCGACGGCGGUGUUUGGCACCUCGAUGUCGGCUCAUCACAUCCUGGGGCUGAAGUAGGUCCCAAGGGUAUGGCUGUUCGCCAUUUAAAGUGGUACGCGAGCUGGGUUUAGAACGUCGUGAGACAGUUCGGUCCCUAUCUGCCGUGGGCGCUGGAGAAUUGAGGGGGGCUGCUCCUAGUACGAGAGGACCGGAGUGGACGCAUCACUGGUGUUCGGGUUGUCAUGCCAAUGGCACUGCCCGGUAGCUAAAUGCGGAAGAGAUAAGUGCUGAAAGCAUCUAAGCACGAAACUUGCCCCGAGAUGAGUUCUCCCUGAGACUUUAAGUCUCCUGAAGGAACGUUGAAGACGACGACGUUGAUAGGCCGGGUGUGUAAGCGCAGCGAUGCGUUGAGCUAACCGGUACUAAUGAACCGUGAGGCUUAACCUU
rnacentral:rRNA from 1 species